rnacentral:rRNA from 1 species
AAUCGCUAGUAAUCGCAGAUCAGAAUGCUGCGGUGAAUACGUUCCCGGGCCUUGUACACACCGCCCGUCACACCAUGGGAGUCUAUUGCACCAGAAGUAGGUAGCCUAACGCAAGAGGGCGCUUACCACGGUGUGGUCGAUGACUGGGGUGAAGUCGUAACAAGGUAGCCGUAGGGGAACCUGCGGCUGGAUCACCUCCUUAA